AGUGAACGCUGGCGGUAGGCCUAACACAUGCAAGUCGAACGGCAGCGCAGUAAGAGCUUGCUCUUACGGGUGGCGAGUGGCGGACGGGUGAGGAAUACAUCGGAAUCUACUUUUUCGUGGGGGAUAACGUAGGGAAACUUACGCUAAUACCGCAUACGACCUACGGGUGAAAGCAGGGGAUCUUCGGACCUUGCGCGAUUGAAUGAGCCGAUGUCGGAUUAGCUAGUUGGCGGGGUAAAGGCCCACCAAGGCGACGAUCCGUAGCUGGCCUGAGAGGAUGAUCAGCCACACUGGAACUGAGACACGGUCCAGACUCCUACGGGAGGCAGCAGUGGGGAAUAUUGGACAAUGGGCGCAAGCCUGAUCCAGCCAUACCGCGUGGGUGAAGAAGGCCUUCGGGUUGUAAAGCCCUUUUGUUGGGAAAGAAAAGCAGCAGGUUAAUACCCCGCUGUUCUGACGGUACCCAAAGAAUAAGCACCGGCUAACUUCGUG
rnacentral:rRNA from 1 species